rnacentral:rRNA from 1 species
GUAGUCAUAUGCUUGUCUCAAAGAUUAAGCCAUGCAUGUCUAAGUAUAAGCAAUUAUACCGCGAAACUGCGAAUGGCUCAUUAUAUAAGUUAUCGUUUAUUUGAUAGUACCUUACUACUUGGAUAACCGUGGUAAUUCUAGAGCUAAUACAUGCUAAAAAUCCCGACUUCGGAAGGGAUGUAUUUAUUAGAUUAAAAGCCAAUGCCCUCUGGGCUCUCUGGUGAUUCAUGAUAACUUCUCGAAUCGCAUGGCCUUGCGCCGGCGAUGGUUCAUUCAAAUUUCUUCCCUAUCAACUUUCGAUGUUUGGGUAUUGGCCAAACAUGGUUGCAACGGGUAACGGAGGGUUAGGGCUCGACCCCGGAGAAGGAGCCUGAGAAACGGCUACUACAUCCAAGGAAGGCAGCAGGCGCGCAAAUUACCCAAUCCCGACACGGGGAGGUAGUGACAAUAAAUACUGAUACAGGGCUCUUUUGGGUCUUGUAAUUGGAAUGAGUACAAUUUAAAUCCCUUAACGAGGAACAAUUGGAGGGCAAGUCUGGUGCCAGCAGCCAGUGUAGUCAUAUGCUUGUCUCAAAGCGAGUCUGGUGCCAGCAGCC